AGAUACCUAGAUAUCAGCUGGACCAAUAUAAGUGCGAUGCUUAUCAAAACCUUGACCGCUUUAGAGACGGUAGGACCUUUGGGGAUUAUCCACAAAGGUCCUUACAAUGCCCGCCACCAAAUCCUGGAUUUGGCAUUGCAUGUCCUGGACUGCACCACCUCGACAUUCAAGGUAUACAAUUUUAUUCUAGUCACGAGUCUAAGCUCUUUUGAUAUUCUUAGACUUAAUAAAUGAUUCGAUGUUUUUACCUUUUUGGAUAUUUAGGAAUUUCUGAUCCAUCAGAGUCUUCGAGGUCUCUUUACUUCACAGCUGCAAGCUCCACGGUCCAACCCGAAAUGAUUAUGAGUUUCGAUAACUCACCAACCACAACGUUUCAUAUCGACGGAAAAUUCUUACAGAGAAACAGCUUCAGGGUAAGUGAACACGAUCCGGUGCACGGCGAAUCACAAACUGUGAUGACAAG
rnacentral:lncRNA from 1 species